rnacentral:rRNA from 1 species
AUUGAACGCUGGCGGCAGGCCUAACACAUGCAAGUCGAGCGGAUGACGGGAGCUUGCUCCUUGAUUCAGCGGCGGACGGGUGAGUAAUGCCUAGGAAUCUGCCUGGUAGUGGGGGACAACGUUUCGAAAGGAACGCUAAUACCGCAUACGUCCUACGGGAGAAAGCAGGGGACCUUCGGGCCUUGCGCUAUCAGAUGAGCCUAGGUCGGAUUAGCUAGUUGGCGGGGUAAGGGCUCACCAAGGCGACGAUCCGUAACUGGUCUGAGAGGAUGAUCAGUCACACUGGAACUGAGACACGGUCCAGACUCCUACGGGAGGCAGCAGUGGGGAAUAUUGGACAAUGGGCGAAAGCCUGAUCCAGCCAUGCCGCGUGUGUGAAGAAGGUCUUCGGAUUGUAAAGCACUUUAAGUUGGGAGGAAGGGCAGUAAGCUAAUACCUUGCUGUUUUGACGUUACCGACAGAAUAAGCACCGGCUAACUCUGUGCCAGCCGCCGCCGUAACAC